rnacentral:rRNA from 1 species
AUACAGAGGGUGCAAGCGUUAAUCGGAUUUACUGGGCGUAAAGCGCGCGUAGGUGGCUAAUUAAGUCAAAUGUGAAAUCCCCGAGCUUAACUUGGGAAUUGCAUUCGAUACUGGUUAGCUAGAGUAUGGGAGAGGAUGGUAGAAUUCCAGGUGUAGCGGUGAAAUGCGUAGAGAUCUGGAGGAAUACCGAUGGCGAAGGCAGCCAUCGGGCCUAAUACUGACACUGAGGUGCGAAAGCAUGGGGAGCAAACAGGAUUAGAUACCCUGGUAGUCCAUGCCGGAAACGAUGUCUACUAGCCGUUGGGGCCCUUGAGGCUUUAGUGGCGCAGCUAACGCGAUAGGUAGACCGCCUGGGGAGUACGGUCGCAAGACUAAAACUCAAAUGAAUUGACGGGG